GAAAAACUUUGAGAACCACUGCUCUAACCUACCUAUCUAGCCAAAACCUAACACCUAACACCGUGGGGUGGGACGCUGAGUGAUGCGGCACCAAAGUACUUCUCGCUAACUCAGUCUCAAAAGGUUCUUCACUUACUGACCAAACGUCACUGAAGAUUCAGUUUAUGAUUGGCUGAUUUAUGCGGCUAAUCUGAAUCCAACCAAUCAACAUCACGGAAAUCCUAGCGGUUUGUACACUACGGCCAAGUACAUGUCAAUGCACGUUAGGCCUAGGGGUGACUGAUUUAAUUUGAAACAUGGUUCUUCCUUCUAAGCGCCCAAUGUCAGCAUAUGCCUGUUUCUUAAAGAGAUUCCAUAAUCAGUUAAAGAAAAAGGGAGAGCUGACAACAUUCUUAGAGUUCACCCGAAGAGCUCGAGAUAAAUGGAGGACCAUGACUCCAAGGGAAAAAAAAAAAAAAUAUUAAAAUAUCAGAGAAAGACAGAGAUCGUUAUAAAUUGGAGAAAAGGGGGAGACAACGGGGAAAUGAAAAUGCCCCAAAGAGACCUAUGUGAGUGCUGUCGCUUUGUUUUGAGCUAGUUAUAUGCUAUGUAUAUAUAUAUUAAUCCAUCUGAUGUCAUUGACUUCAAGGCACCCGAUGUGGUUGGUGGGCUUAAGUAUUUCAAUGACCUUAAAGCUACAGCAUCUGGUGCAUGCACUUUGUCAAGGGUGCCCUGUGUCAGGCAGGUCUAGGAGUAGAGACUAAAGUGUAGACUGUGAAGUCCACCUAUCUCCCAGAUUAGAUCGAGUUUGUUAGGCAACUAUUCCUGGGAAAAAACAAAACAAAACUGUUAGGGAAAAUGGCAGAUACAAAACAGUCAAACAAUUGGUAGCAGACCAAGUAGCUAAUGACGGCUGGGUGUGAAAAUUACAUAGAUUUUUCCAACCUGACAGCUAACCUGUCAUCAAAAAUGUUCAUUACCUUUGGUUGUUGUAAUAUAGGAACACAAAGCAAACAAAAAAGUUAUUACAGGCCCUGUAACUCAGUCAAUGAAAUCGAUGGUAGUGGUGGCUAUUAUCUCAUCAUUUUCAGUGCAAAUCCAUAUCAAGUUGAGAAACCAGCAAUCAUCUCAAAUUUGGCUGUUGACCAACUGAGUUAUUGCCUUCUUUCAAAUGCAGUUAAAUCUUGAUUUUCACCGAUAAUUUGUUCCAAGACAAUCAUCGAAAUCCUAAAUUUAUGAAAACCAAGACAAUUAUUUCCAUAUGAAUCCAUGUAAAUCCAAUUAAUGUGUUCUAGACAUUCCAAAAUACAUAUCAAAAACAUAUUUUAUAGAGAAUAAAUAGUGUUUGUUACUAAAAGCAAUAAGAAAUUAGCAUAAAUUGAAUAUUAAAGAUUAAUGUUAAGAAUAAAUAAACAUUUACAUGACAUUUAUUUUUCUAAAGACUUUUCUUGGCAUGUGGACGACAGCAAGAAGGGGAGAAAGAGGUACAGAUAUUGUUAGGAAGGGGAAUGCAUGUCUACUGCAGCUAUAUCACCCUAGAGAGUUACCAAGAAACCUUCAUUUGAAAAUUUUCAAAGGGGUCAGCUUGUCUUGUGGGUCAUAUUUGCAGAAUAAAUUAACAAAUGCACCAUCCAUAAUGUCUCUUCAUUUGACAACUAAUGGUAAGAAGAAACAUUGUCUAUUAAAAUAAACCUGGCAAAGAUCAGUUAUGAAAGAAUUGAAAGAAUAGAAACUGACAUGGAACAACUAAAUAUGCUACUGACUGGAAAACUGGAAAUCUGUAAAGGAUGCUUUAUGUACUCUCUAGGUAUAAGGAUAACUGAGUAAUCAUGAGAGUAUAUGUUGGACUCUUUUACUUAACCUGUUCCUUUUUUUUUUUUUUUAGUCAGGCCAUCCUACAAGCACAAUGGUUUUGCUGGUGAUACCUGUCUGAUGACCACAUUGUGGACUGAACAUUUUCUUUCAUUUAGGACCAAUCUCUUAGUACUUGUGCAGACAAGCUGAAUUAUGAAUUUGAAAUUACACAUUUGUUCAGUAUUUUGAUAUUUUCUAUUUAUUAAUUUGUUUCAGAACAGCAUUCUUUCAUUAUAUCAAAGAGAAGGGAAUCCAUUUUAAAAAACAACAUCCUCUAAUGCCCCAACACCAGAUUGUGCAAGCUUUAGCUUCUAAGUGGCGCAGUCUUAAAGAGAAGCUACCGUAUGAGGUUAUGGCUGUACAAGAUAGAGGGAGAUACUAUAAGGAAAUGGCGAUUUUUAACAAGAAAGAACUUGUAAGAGCUAAAAAGGCCGAACCAGCAGCAACAUCUAGAAAAACCUCUUCAGAACAAGAAGACUCUGAUGACAGUGAUAAUGAUGAUUUCCCUUAAUUCAAAGCAUCAAGGAAAAAGAGAAGGAUCCAAGACCUUUAAUGAAGGAUGGGUAUAAUUUUGGUGGAGACAUUUGCUAAGAUAUUAUUAACUGAACCUAAAGUUUUUUAACAAGUAUAUUUAUGGGACCAUUUGUGGAUGUGAUAUUUGCUGUUGCAGCUCAAAUAUUGUGGAGAACUUUAGGUCAAAUAAAAGUGAUAAGCAUUCCUCCUGUUGCAGAUAUUUGUUGGGGUUUUUUGUUGUAAUGGGUUUUUUUUUUAAAAAAAAUGAAAGCUGAAAGGUGAUGAGAGGAAAUAUAUUUGAUGUAGUUCACGGUAAAAGUUGAGAAAGGAGUGUGUAGCGUGAAGCAGAUGACAAUGAAUUUACAAAAACAAUUUUUAUCAUGUACUGAUCUUGAUGAUGCACUAUGACAUUGCAAAUGGCUCUUAUACCAUGAUAAAGUAUUAUGCAGACUUUGCAAUCCGAAAAUUCAUAAACAGUAACUUAUAGAAUGUUGAAACUUACAAAUAAAUUCAUAUUGCUCUGUACAUCUCUGGGUAAAGGGAAAGUAAGGAGGGAGUUGGCAUUGAACUUAUAACACUUAUGCUUAUAUCUUUGUGUUCCAUCUUUCAUGACCAGUAAUUCAUCAGUUGUUGCUGCACUUUCUCACUUUGUAAUGACAAAUUUCAUCAUGAUUAACAAAAUGUUAUUGUCUGUUUUUUGUGUGGGGAGAGAUGUGACUAAGAAUCUCAUUGUUGAACUAUUCCUUAGUCAAAUUCUCAGCAUCAUUUGCAAAAGCAAAUUAUGUACAGUGUAUAGAGAGCAGGAUAAUGAUAGGUAUUCAAAAGAUACAUUUUGUUAUGAGUAUCGGAUGCCUUUGAAUGUUAUUUAGGAUGUUUUAGAUUGUUCAUAAAUGUAACUGAAGCAUAACAUAAACAGGUAUCAAUUCCAGAAUAAUAAUUUUUAUACCAUUUUGACAUGUAAAGACUUUCAAAACUAAGUCAUUCUGGCUUUGAAAAUUGACUCACAUUGUUGGAAGCUUUCAACUGUGUUUUCAGGCAGUGCAAAAUUUGUAUAUGGAUACAGCUACGUACUCUUAUUAGGAUGGUAAUGAAAUCAGAAGUUUCUUGAGGAUUUGCCCACAUCAGAACACACAUGAACCACUUUGAUAGUCAACCCCAUGCUGAGCCAGAGGGUCAAAAUCCAUCAAGGUCACAGUUUUUGGCAAAGCAUGCUAUCAGGACACAAAAGCCAAGGGCUUCUUCCAAACCUUCAUCUUGACAUCACAAGGAAAUGUGUGGAAAAUAGUUGGUGACACAUAUCCUUUCCUUGAAGCUUGAUCAUUGUCAUGUUGAACUGGAUCUGUAUUUAUGUGGUGAAGAAUUUAACACACUGGUAUUAAGUGUUACAAGUGUCUCACAGAAGAUGUGAAAGUGGAAAUAAAAUUUAUUUUUCAUGUGGUGAUCUUUCACUUCAAAUAUUGACUUGUGAAACUAGAUGGCAAUGAAAAGAUACCAGUUGAUACAGAUAUAAAGCUCAUAAACCAAAUGAAGAAAAUCAAAGCUGGGAGUAUUUUGUUGCUUUUAUUUCUAAAAGCAUAGCUGUGCUUAAUGAAUGAAACAACGAAAAUAGCCAUUGAACUCUCAAGUUUUCAACUGUUCAAGCAUUUUAGGAAUUAUAAGAAACAGAAAUAACACUUUUAAAUGACAAUAAAUAAUAGCUAUUCAUUUUA